UUAAAGGCGUGAUGGAUAUAUCAACUAUGUACCGCUAUCUGUGGAUGUUUCCUUUCUUUUAUUCAAUCUACAGUGAAAAGAUACCAGUUGUUAAACCUUAUGAGAAGGGCCAAUUCAUAAGAUUGGACUGCACUGUUAAUACUGUUUCAGAGGCAAUUUGGCAGAAAGAAGGACAAACGGUAACAUUUGGUAAUAUGGU